rnacentral:rRNA from 1 species
CACGUAGGGCGCAAGCGUUGUCCGGAAUUAUUGGGCGUAAAGAGCUCGUAGGCGGUCUGUUGCGUCCGCUGUGAAAACUCGGGGCUUAACCCCGAGCCUGCAGUGGAUACGGGCAGACUAGAGGUAGGUAGGGGAGAAUGGAAUUCCCGGUGUAGCGGUGAAAUGCGCAGAUAUCAGGAGGAACACCUAUUGCGAAGGCAGCUCGCUGGGACGUUACUGACGCUGAGACGCGAAAGCGUGGGGAGCAAACAGG